GUCCACACACAUCUGUCUCUCAUUGGAGACCUGAAGUGAGUCACUUCCUUUCCCAGACCCUCAGAUUCCCCGUUUGUCCUCCUGGGGCAACAGAUAAAGAGAGGUUUCUGCUGCUCUGUUCCUGCCCUGUGGCCCAGCACACCCUUUUCAGGAACAGCUCCUGAGUGAACAGCCUCAGAUGCCCCAUCUCCUAGCCCCCUGGGGCUGCCAGGGCCUCAUUUCUCCCCUUCCCUCUGCCAGUUCCAAUCUUUCUAGUGCCGCGUACAUGACGUUGAGCAGAGCACGCCGUAGACAUACGAAAACACGGAGAUCAGAACGGCCCCGUAGCUUGCAGCCAGCUUGCGGAGUGCCUCAGGAAGGCGUCGAUGGACGGCCUCCUGGCCCCUUGGCCCCCGCUCCCAUGCAAACACCAGUCCUGAACGUGCGCUCACUGUUGAUAGUGGGAGUUUACUAUUCCCAUGCAUGAGCCACAUAUUUCUUCAAAGUCGGGGAAGAAAAGGUGUUUUUUUUUUUUAAAGAAAGAAAAUCGACUUUAUACUCCAUCCACUCCAGCAACAGUUCUCAGAUGUCUGGGGCUGUGGGACAGUGAAAUACCCACAUUCAUUUGGGGCACUUUGUAAGGACUCUUCAUUUUUCCGAGUAAGAACAUGAAAAAAAAAUCCCACGAAAGUAUCCCCUGCCAUCACGGUGGCUUCAUGGAAGAAAGGACAUUUAAUAUGGAAAAUACAGAAAGAGCGUGUUCUCAGAAUUUUAAACACGGCAUACAUUUAGGCUAGUCGAAAAAUUCUUUAUUUUUCCUGUUUCCACACAGAGCCUGGAAACCUUCACCUUGGGCCAGCUUGGCAUUUAGGACUCACUCAUUUAGAAACUCAGACCUCUGUGACUACGUCUGGAAGGGGACAGGGACUUUCUGGAGAGAACCACCCCCGUCCUGGACCCAGAGAGUAUUUCUGCCGCUCCUUCCGUCACCACACCAGAUGGAGUCUCGGGAGGGACAGACCUAUGCCCACGGGCACCCAGUAACUGCGGAAGGAGCCACAGUUCUGAACGUGAAUCCAUAUGGAAAUGCCUCCCUCACCCUCCCCACCAGGCCUCCUGCCGCAACAGAUAAGCGGCCAGUCAGCUGCACGGGGCCAGCGUCAGGGAUCGCUGCUCCCAAGUGACCAACAAACAGCACGGGGCGUCUGAGAGUUGAACUCAGGGCUGGGAAGGGGGGGAGCAACACGGCAUGCGUCACCAAAACCUAAUCCAGCUUGAUGAAGCCUCCUUCUUCCUCUGCAGCCCCGGUGUAGAGCCCCGGCCCAUCUCUUUGGAAGGAGCAGGAGGGAGCUGGGGACACCUCACAUCCACAGGUGUGUCCUCAUGGGGCCGCACCUCUCGCCAGGCUCCCUGUGUGUUGGGACAAGGGUGUCCAUCAGGGAUGAGUCUGAGGCUGAGAGAUGGUCACUUGCUCGGCGCCCCACCGCUGAGCCCUGUGGCCGAGUAAGAAGCGUGCACAGGAAGACAAGUGAGAAGAAUGCCCCACAUCAGCCUGUGGGGUGUCUGUCUCCCCCCAGCUGAGUGUGAGGGAGACCAGGAAAGGCUGCCUACCGAGGGGCACAGAAGAACCACAGCUGAGUGGCGGGGGGACCCAGGUUGGCUGAGAAAGGAGCCCCUUGAGCCAACAAGAACAGAGAGGAUGUGGCCAGGCAGAGCAGAGACCAGCAGUGUGGCUGGAGAAAGCCGGGGGCCUUCCUGGGGUCACCUGUCGGAGGUCAGCUCUCCUGCCCAGGACCCCCUCCCUCUCCGGCCCCUCUCAGUUUAUCUCCCUGACCCUGCUGCCAGGGAUACUCGGACUUCUCCCAGUGAGAGCAGCUGCAGUCCUGGAGGCAAAGAGGGUGCCCUGGGUUCAGGAGGCAACAGGGAGGAAGCAGCCUCCCCCCGCACCCCUGGCAGGAGGGGUCCCAGAGGCCGUCCCCACAGGCAGCAGGCCCCGCUGCCCCAGGGAGUCCUUACUCCCCACUGCUCCUGCAGUAGC